UCCAUUAUAUUAAUCUUGAUAUUUAUAUGUUCCUGUUCCUUCCUUCCUGCUGUUCAAGUUUACAUCUGUUAUCAUUUCCCUUCUAUCUAAAAACUUGCCUUAACAAUUAUUUUAGAAGAAGUGAAAAUGCCCUGCCCCGCCUUAACUGAUGACAUUCCACCACAAAAGAAGUGUAAAUGGCCGGUCCUUGCCUUAAGUGAUGACAUUACCUUGUGAAAGUCCCUUUUCCUGGCUCAUCCUGGCUCAAAAACUCCCCCACUGAGCACCUUGCGACCCCCACUCCUGCCUGCCAGAGAACAAACCCCCUUUGACUGUAAUUUUCCUUUACCUACCCAAAUAUUAUAAAACAGCCUCAUCCCUAUCUCCCUUCGCUGACUCUCUUUUCGGACUCAGCCUGCCUGCACCGAGGUGAUUAAAAGCUUUAUUGCUCACACAAAGCCUGUUUUGGUGGUCUCUUCACACAGACGCGCAUGAAACCCAGUAAUCUACUUCAAGUUUCCUAGCUCUUCCCUAUGCCAUCUCCAUUAUGUUGUGAGCCUAUCCAGUAUUUUAUUUCAAUUAUUGUCUUUUUAUUUCUAAAAUUUCCAAUUAGUUCUUUAUAUCUUCUGUUUCUUUGUUGAUAUUUUUCUAUCUUUCCAUUCAUACCCCAGGGCUGAGGGAGCGUAUCCAAGGAAGGGC
rnacentral:lncRNA from 1 species